rnacentral:lncRNA from 1 species
AAAAAACAAGAAAUCGGUGAGAAAUAUUUUUAAAUAUAGAAGGUGAGAAUUUAUUUAUCGAUAUCCUGGGAUACCUCUGCUGUAUAAAUGUAGAAUAUUAACUAAAUACAUGGUAAAUAUAGUAAUGAUAUUUAUCAAUGCACUAUUGAAAUGCAUGUAUUCACCUGUGUUAACAAGAACAUUUGAAUAUUUGCGAGCUUUGCGAAUUUAUAGAUCAAAAUAUAGAUCUGUUAUGUACUUGCCAACAAUUUUGAUUUUAUAAUUUUUGUUUGAUGUUUAGGAAUUGAAAUGUUUUACCUGUGGCAGAAAAUUUAAAUGGUGUCAUACAGGCAUAUACAGGGACAGUUGUCAAGAAAAUAUAUAAUUAAACAAGGUCAUAUUUGAAGAAUUUGGUGAAAGUGGUAUUUGUGAGUGACAAAGUUCAGGCAAAAGACAUAUUGGACAACAUGGAUGUACAUAAUUUUGCUGUUCAUUUAUUUCGUCAAGUCAGGAAAUGGCCGAACUGCAGUCUGCAUAGUGUCAUGUUUGUAAUAUUUUCAAACAAGAUUCACCUGAUCACCACCCAACAAUGGCUUGUUGUUGGACUUCCGGGAACACCGAUAUUCUAGUUUAUAUUCAAAUGUUACUUGUUCGAACUAGUUUGCGUUAGAACAUUCACAAGGUACAGCAUCUAAUUCUGAUUAGUAUGUGAAAACUGAAGCAACAAUUUCAACACGAACACUCCAGGCAGGCACAUGUGAACAGGAAUAGAAUAAAAUUUGGAGGUUAAUAUUGUUAAUUUAAUACAUAAUAAUAAAUGUAUUUAUUGUAAUAAAAUUAUGAUGAAAUUUAUUAUUAUUAAAAUUAUUAUUGAAUUUUUAAUUUAUUAAAUUGUUGAAUAUGAUAUUAUUACAGCUCCAGUAGGCAGAAAUAAGCCCCAAAGCAUCAUCUUUUAUUAGUUGCUCUGCAGAGAAAGCAUCUAUUACAAUUAUUAUUUUUUUUAUAUACAUGUAAAAUAUCCAAAAACUUUCUCCAUGACAGGUUGCAAAUCACUUGAAGGUGAGAAAGGCAAUAAACCAAUCCAAGCCCUCUUCAACAGAUAUCUCUUGUGAUACAUGUCACUGGAAUAUUGCUUAAUUUUUAUAUUGCACUCAGUGAUGGUUGCUUUUUCCAGAAAAAUGACUUUGUACACUUGACCAUCAACCUGCAUCAAAUCACUAUAUAAUCAUAAUAAUAUUAAUACUCAAUACAAGUACUCUUUAUUGCUGUGGAUAUUGUUACUGCAAUAUUUGCCUUUUAUGCUCAAAUGAAUCCACAUCUCUAUGAACAAAAGAGGCAAAUUGUCCUGGCAGUGCACCAUUUAAUACCUGUAUAACCUGUAUUCUAAAAGCUCACUCACACUCACAGGCCUUAAAAUAUCUUUUCCAGGGCCGUCUGACAAAAUGUCCGGUGACGUUGAGUUUGGGUCGGACAUAUGUCCGAUGACCUUCAGUUCAGUUGUGACUCUGAAAUAAGUCUGAAUGACACAAAUGAAUAAACG